UACAGAGGUCUCAAGCGUUGUUCGGAUUCAUUGGGCGUAAAGGGCGCGUAGGCGGCGGGGUAAGUCGGGUGUGAAAUCUCAGAGCUCAACUCUGAAACUGCACUCGAUACUGCUCUGCUUGAGGACUGGAGAGGAGACUGGAAUUCACGGUGUAGCAGUGAAAUGCGUAGAUAUCGUGAGGAAGACCAGUGGCGAAGGCGGGUCUCUGGACAGUUCCUGACGCUGAGGCGCGAAGGCCAGGGGA
rnacentral:rRNA from 1 species